rnacentral:lncRNA from 1 species
GAAAAGUCAGUAGAGAAGGUAGGCAGUGCUUGCAAAGGCCUGAGCACUGCAAGAAUGGACUAAUACGCUAUGUGAAGACAAAGGGGAUGUCUGCAAGCCAGGACGAGUGCGUCUACCAGAAACUGAGUUCUGCUGGACUUUGAUCUAGGACAUCCAGCCUCCAGAAUGGAAUGUGCCAUAUGUGGAGACCUGCAUGGAAAGGAACUGAGGAUGCUCUCUCACUAAAAGCUAGAAGGAACUGAGGCCCUCAGUCAACAGUCUACAAGACACUGAAUCUUGCCAGCAGCCAAGCAGUGAGCUUGAAAGCAGAUCUAUCAUCAGCUGAACCUUCAGAUGAGACCGCAGCCUAAGCAGAUACCUUGGUUGCAGCCAUGUGAGACAACCUGAAACAGAGGGCACAGCUAAGCCUCAGCCAGGUUCAUGACCCUCUGAGGAAACUGUGAGAAAGCAAAUGUCAUUUUAAGCUAUUUAAUUUUGGAGGUAGUUUAUUACACAACAAUAAAUAACUAUUAUAAUUAUCUUGAGGAUUUAUUUCCUGGGGAGAAUACAUGGAAUUGCAUAUAUAGGUCCUCAUAUGCAGAAUACUGGUACCCUAGAGAUGUUCACCCCAGAGAUGUUUUAGGAACCUGUGAAUAUGUUACAUUAAAUGGCAAAGUUUUCCUGGAUGGUUUAAGUUUAAGAUGGAAAAGUUUUACUGGAUUAUCCAGUGGGUCCAAUCUAGUAACAUGAGUCCUUAAAAAUGGAGAAUAUUUUUUGGCCAUGAUCAGAGAGACAUGUGAUGAUGGAAAAAGUGUCAGAGAUGCAAUGUGAGGGGACUAAAACUGCUGUUGCUGACUUUAAAGAUGGAGAGAGGGGAACCCGAGUCAAGGAAUGCAAAUGGCCUCUGGAAGCUGGAAAAAGCAAGAAAUGGAUUCUCCUUUAGAGCCUGUGGAAUAAAAUGCAGUCAUGCUGACACCUUGAUUUUACCUCAGUGAGACCAAUACUGGAGUAUGACCUUCGGAGCUGAAUAAAAUUAUACGUACACAUCUUAAUUUCUUGGGAUUUGAUUACUUCUUCUGCUUUGAAAUUAGACCAAGUUUAGCCUGCCUUUGCUAUUUUGGCGUAUCUCCA